rnacentral:rRNA from 1 species
AUUGAACGCUGGCGGCAGGCCUAACACAUGCAAGUCGAGCGAGCGGCGGACGGGUGAGUAAUGUCUGGGGAACUGCCUGAUGGAGGGGGAUAACUACUGGAAACGGUAGCUAAUACCGCAUACUAUCAGAUGUGCCCAUAUGGGAUUAGCUAGUAGGUGGGGUAAAGGCUCACCUAGGCGACGAUCCCUAGCUGGUCUGAGAGGAUGACCAGCAAAACUGGAACUGUGACAAGGUCCAGCCUCCUACGGGAGGCAGCAGUGGGGAAUAUUGACCAAUGGGCGCAAGCCUGAUGCAGCCAUGCCGCGUGUGUGAAGAAGGCCUUAGGGUUGUAAAGCACUUUCAGCGGGGAGGCGUUACCCGCAGAAGAAGCAACGGCUAACUCCGUGCCAGCCGCCGCGGUAAUAC